rnacentral:tRNA from 1 species
AUUUAAGUAGUUUAUAAGAAUGUUGACUUGUGGAGUCGGAGGAAUAUUUAGGAUAUCUUAGAUA